ACUGUAAUAAUAUUCUCUAGUAUUAUUUUCAUCAGCUAUUAGGAAUUUUAAAACCCAUGCUGAACUAAGGAGAUUAAAACCAACCAACCAGCCACUGCUAGCUCUUCCAGCUGGAAACAGUGUGCCUUGCAGUCCUACCAGCAGUUGAUGUGGCCAGUGUUACUCCACCUGAAUGUAAAUGAAGUGUGCCAGGAUAUAAUUUCCCAAGGAAUAAAUCCAGCUACCUGAUACUUCACCCUCCUGACUACAUCAAGGUCAUUGACAAGGCUUUCUUAAAUGUAAUAUGGUACAGUGAUUGCAUCACUACUGAAAGGGGAGGCGGGAUGGACUGAAUUAAAGGAUGCUGUGAAAAAGGUAUUUGGAUCUGAAGAAUGACAGCUGGGUGCAGAAGAAAGACGGUGACUCAGUAAGAACAGAUCAAGCAAAACUGAAGAGCAAAGGAGUGAAGAAAGUAGGAUGUGCUGAAGCCAACAUGUAAGACAGACAAUUGUUCUGUAUCCUAAAUUUAAAGACAAGCUCAUAGGGACCUUCAUCUGUGGAGAUGGUAAGAAGAAAAGGCUCUAUGAGGGAGGUUUUCUCAGCAAGGGUAUACUAGAUGGGGGUGGAAAGGCAAGACAAGCAAGCAAAUGAGAAAAUAAUUGCAUCAGACAAGGUGAAAGGAUAUUUUGGUCCUUGAUUUUGCAAAGGCUUAACAAGAUUUGGCUUGGGAGCUAAAUCUAGCUGUGAUAUGAAUAAAUGACAUGCCAUUUAGAUGCUACCUGCUUCCAUGGCUUGCUCAAUCCCUUCCUGCCUACAGGCAGAGCUGUUUUUGUCCUCUGUAAUCACUGCCAGCCUCAAGCAGCUAUAAUUACCUGUACAUGAUCCAGCACUGUGACUGCUCUGUUUCCGUCCUCUGAAUUUCUUGAGAUUAAGUAAAAUGUAACUGCCAGUGGAUUUCUGUGCUUCUACCAAUACAUAGCAGGUAAAGAUGCCGUGUUGCAAAUGCUAGAGGAAAAAAAAGAUACACUCUGCUAAUUGCAGAUUUCAAAUGGGAGGAGUUGAGACAUUUUCCUCACUUUAAAAUGUCUUUUCAUUAAAUAUAAUAUCAACACUCACUAAAUUGAAGAUCACACUGAACAUAUUUUUCCUUAGAAGAAAAAGGUCAAGAUACCAAUCAGUGAAAAAAGGCCAUAUCUUCUACAUCUCCCACAAAUGCAUCUCC